AUUGAACGCUGGCGGCAGGCUUAACACAUGCAAGUCGAACGAGUGGCGGACGGGUGAGUAAUGCUUGGGAAUCUAGCUUAUGGAGGGGGAUAACUACGGGAAACUGUAGCUAAUACCGCGUACCAUAGGAUGAGCCCAGUUGGGAUUAGGUAGUUGGUUGGGUAAAGGCUCACCAAGCCGACGAUCUCUAGCUGGUCUGAGAGGAUGACCAGCCACCCUGGGACUGAGACACGGCCCAGACUCCUACGGGAGGCAGCAGUGGGGAAUAUUGCGCAAGGGGGUAAACCUGACGCAGCCAUGCCGCGUGAAUGAAGAAGGCCUUCGGGUUGUAAAGUUCUUUCUGUAGGGAGGCGUUAACUACAGAAGAAGCACCGGCUAACUCCGUGCCAGCAGCCGCGGUAAUUC
rnacentral:rRNA from 1 species